AUCAUCUGAAAAACUCCUCAUGACGCCAUAGCACCCAUUGAAAUAGAGUGUUUGGAAAAAAAACGAAAUCUUUUGGUCCAGUCUAGAGGGCGUAGUCAGAAGAAAACGGCAACCAAUAGAAGUAAUACUCAUCAUCACUUCUAUUGGUUUCUGACACGUCCAUCAACCGCCAGCACUCACCCCUCCUCCCUGCGCGUUCACCAACUCGUGAACUUGACCGACCCCGCCCCCAUCAUUCACGCACACGCGACAAGGCUCAUCAUCACUCGGCUAGUAGCAAGGUAACGAGAGUUAGCAGCAGGCUGAGCUACUUGAAAACUUUGGUGGCUUUUGCAGAGCUACAGGAAGAACUUUGGCUUUUGGAACACUGGACUAACCAUGUCAGGAUAACAUACUCCCUUGGAUUAUAGUCAUAUCGGACUCGCAAGACCAGACUCCAACACGGGCUGAAAAUUUGAAAUGGGACCUGACACUCUUGGACACAGAUGUCGGCUACGGCAGCGGCUUCAAAUACGCUUUGGUGACCAUAUUUCUAAUCGAGAGUUGUGCGAACGAGCCAGACAAACCAGCUGGGAGGAGGACGGAAGCACCCCUUCUCCAUCCGCGUUCAGUUGCUAAAGAUUCACCCCGUAGUCAACAGCAGACAGGGUCCUUCCACAACCACAUACUUAUGCCAGUAAAAGCCACAGCUUUUCUCCUCCAAUCCAAGAAGCCUGGACUGCAGUCACCAUCUCAACACACCAACCAAGAGAAAGGCGGAUGGCUCAAUUCAAUAUGGAAAAUUGCACAAUAAAAGUUCCAGGACAUGAAGGCUGCAUACUGUGAACGUCAACCUUCAGGGCACCGUCCUGCGCAGAAGACUUUCUACCCUAAGAGGGAUGGCUGACCGCAGACACUCACAACCAGCACAGACGCCUCCAACCUCAGACUAGGCCCUUCACAGUUGCUGCACUUACCCACCUUCCCAGAGUUUUUGUGUGAUUGCGCAGAGGCGCCAGGUUGGUUGUGCUACUGGGCUGUGACUGAGGACCAGAUGUCAUGUGCCAGGUCGAACAUCAAACUGGG